GUGAAGGUUUUCCCAGUAACCCCAGGAAAAUAACUCUCCAUCACUGUGAUUUCAUAUUGUUUUGUUCAUACCCCUAAACAUACCACUGAUUUUAUAUUGUGGCUAUUCCCCUGUCUCCUCCCAUUAAACCACAGGCUCUUCAAGAGUCAGGUCCUGGAAUCUGCAGCCUCUAGAACUUCUAUGGCAUUUAUCUUAAAAAUAAAUGCCUUAGAAGUUAAAUACUUAAGUAGUUUUAGGUCAAACUGGAAUUUAUUCACAUUGUAAACUUUUGUCCAUAUGUUCAAUUUUGGAUUGCAGUAAUGGAAAUGGUACCUGGCUUUGCUAGGGCUACCCUGUUAUAGUCA
rnacentral:lncRNA from 1 species